AAAUCACGGUGGUUCGCGUGAAUUAAACCACGGCAACCACGUCCCCCUUUUUUCCAUUAUUCACGCAAACCCUAACCCCCAACAUAAAGAAGAACAAUCGCAGCAACAAAUUCUUUUCCUUUGUUUGUGAUAAUCAAGUUUCACAAGAGAAGAAUAGCAGAUAUUUUGUUCCACAGUUAAUACUACCAUGGAUCUAAGCAACCCGAACAACCCGCCACAAACCCCGUGGACGACACCCGUUGAUCCGAUGUUGAGCGUCUAUUUGGGGUUCUACAACAAAAAUGGCACAAAGUUGCAAACCCAGCACGAGCACUUGAACUCAAAACAUUGAGAUAUUGUAUGUAUGCUUGUAUCUUGCUGCAUAACAUGAUUAUCGAAGACGAAGGUAACGCCAUAUGUGAAUAUGAUCCUAACGACAUUCAUGAGAAUGCUGUACCAAUUGAUGAAGGGCAACAAGAAUCUAACAUGUGGGCGUUAUACAACGAGACUACGCAUAACCAUCUUCGUUCGGAUUUGAUUGAACAUGCUUGGCAAUUUGGUCGGGUUAACGACAACGAGUAGUUUUUUUCUUAAUUUAUAAUAUGUAGUUUAAAUUUGGAUGUUAUUUUUUUUUAUUAAUUUGAAUGUUAUGUGGUUUUAUUACUAAAAUUUAUUUAAUUUUA